rnacentral:rRNA from 1 species
GGUUGAAGGUUGGGUAACACUAACUGGAGGACCGAACCGACUAAUGUUGAAAAAUUAGCGGAUGACUUGUGGCUGGGGGUGAAAGGCCAAUCAAACCGGGAGAUAGCUGGUUCUCCCCGAAAGCUAUUUAGGUAGCGCCUCGUGAAUUCAUCUUCGGGGGUAGAGCACUGUUUCGGCUAGGGGGUCAUCCCGACUUACCAACCCGAUGCAAACUACGAAUACCGAAGAAUGUUAUCACGGGAGACACACGGCGGGUGCUAACGUCCGUCGUGAAGAGGGAAACAACCCAGACC